rnacentral:tRNA from 1 species
UGCUUCGGCCAGGAAUCGAACCCGGGCCGCCCGCGUGGCAGGCGAGCAUUCUACCACUGUGUUGU